rnacentral:ncRNA from 1 species
AGUCUUCAGGGCAGGGUGAAAUUCCCUACCGGCGGUAUAGCCCGCGAGCCGAAAGGCAGAUCCGGUCAGAUUCCGGAGCCGACAGUACAGUCUGGAUGGAAGAAG